GGGAAUUUAGCUCAAUUUUGGGAGAGUGACGGUCUUAGAACUGUAGGGUAUGGGUUCAAGUCCCAUAAUUCCCA
rnacentral:tRNA from 1 species